UCGCGAGCUUUUUUUCACGGAAGGUCUUGUUUAUUACUUACUCUACUUAUUAAUAGUUCUACGGGUGUUUGACUGGAGAAGUUGACAUUUUUGAUAAUUAAAAUCAGUUUGCUCGAGUUUUUUUUAAUAAGAUACAUUUGAAAACUAUCAAACUGUGCAGAAAACUUGACCGAGUUCUGGAUUCAGGCGCAGGGUGACCUAGAUGCGGGUUCAACCCCUGUAGACUACUUCCCCACUACCACCAUAUGUUCCUGACAUCAACACACUGUAAGCCGACCGGGAAAAUUAUGUCUAUCCCCUACAGACACGCUCCUCAUACUACUUACUCGUACUCCCCUUGGUUAAAUAUUUUCAUAAGAUUGUCUAUCGCGGAAAUAAAAGCAACUAUUGAUUUUACGCACUGUUCUUUACGCAGUUAGCUUAACAUUAGAUAUUAGAUUAUAGAUACGGUAAUCGUGACGCUACAUAAUUUCGUUGGGGUUAUGAAUAAAACGGAAUAAGUAGUUGUACCUACUACACUGUUACUGUUUCCUGGUUAUUAAAAAAUACUAAACUUUAUAAUAGUUUUGUUCGAGUAAUUUGGGGCAUUUUUGUUCGCGUGACUUUUAAAGAGCUUUUAUUAAUUAAUUAUUUAGUUUUAAUUUAUUUAAUUGAGAA